rnacentral:misc_RNA from 1 species
CCCUAACAGCUUAACAACCACAUUAAUCCACAUUAAUCAAUAUUAGACACAUAUCAAUAUCUCCCCUCCAAGCUUCUUUGUCCUCAAGGAAGAACAAUUAGAAAACAGACUUGGAGUACAUCAGCAACUCCAAAAAAAUCUGCAGUAACGUAAAUGGUAGUAAAAAAGCUUUCAUUAGAACACUAGCAAUGAUCUCCUCUAAUUCUUCAUUUUACAGCGAAUUCUUCUCAAAUACUCUUGUCACUCACU